GCAGUCGACGCUGAAAGCCUGGUGCUUGCACCGGGUGGAUGAGUGGCGAACGGGUGAGUAACACGUGAGUAACCUGCCCCUGACUUCGGGAUAAGCCCGGGAAACUGGGUCUAAUACCGGAUACGACCGUCGGACGCAUGUCUGGUGGUGGAAAGUUUUUUCGGUUGGGGAUGGGCUCGCGGCCUAUCAGUUUGUUGGUGAGGUAAUGGCUCACCAAGACGACGACGGGUAGCCGGCCUGAGAGGGCGACCGGCCACACUGGGACUGAGACACGGCCCAGACUCCUACGGGAGGCAGCAGUGGGGAAUAUUGCACAAUGGGGGAAACCCUGAUGCAGCGACGCAGCGUGCGGGAUGACGGCCUUCGGGUUGUAAACCGCUUUCAGCAGGGAAGAAGCGCAAGUGACGGUACCUGCAGAAGAAGUACCGGCUAACUACGUGCCAGCAGCCGCGGUAAUACGUAGGGUACGAGCGUUGUCCGGAAUUAUUGGGCGUAAAGAGCUCGUAGGUGGUUGGUCACGUCUGCUGUGGAAACGCAACGCUUAACGUUGCGCGUGCAGUGGGUACGGGCUGACUAGAGUGCAGUAGGGGAGUCUGGAAUUCCUGGUGUAGCGGUGAAAUGCGCAGAUAUCAGGAGGAACACCGGUGGCGAAGGCGGGACUCUGGGCUGUAACUGACACUGAGGAGCGAAAGCAUGGGGAGCGAACAGGAUUAGAUACCCUGGUAGUCCAUGCCGUAAACGUUGGGCACUAGGUGUGGGGGGCAUUCCACGUUCUCCGCGCCGUAGCUAACGCAUUAAGUGCCCCGCCUGGGGGAGUACGGUCGCAAGGCUAAAACUCAAAGGAAUUGACGGGGGCCCGCACAAGCGGCGGAGCAUGCGGAUUAAUUCGAUGCAACGCGAAGAACCUUACCAAGGCUUGACAUACACCAGACCGUCCUGGAAACAGGUCCUCUUCUUUGAAGCUGGUGUACAGGUGGGUGCAUGGUUGUCGUCAGCUCGUGUCGUGAAAAUUUUUGGGUUAAGUCCCGCAACGAGCGCAACCCUCGUUCUAUGUUG
rnacentral:rRNA from 1 species